AAGGAUCAUUACCAUAAUGUGCGCCGUCACACGAGUCAUCACCCCUGGGCUGUAAUUCCCACCAUAAAGGGCCAGGCCACCCGGAGUGCCCCGAAACGGUCGGGGCGUGAGCUGUCUGCUGAGCUCCGGUGGCGGGAUAGAGAUAGAGAGAGUCCCGUCCGCGCCAAGUAAGCAUACCCGGUGUCGGUUUGUCGUAAGGGCUGAUUGGCCCGUUCACCUUCACAAAACCCUCCGUGUACCAUUUCCCUGUUGCUUCCCCGCGCCCCUGCGGCGCGGGGGAGGUCCACCUGAAACACCACAGCACCAAACUGCAGUCAGAAAAACAAACAAACAAUAAGUUAAAACUUUCAACAACGGAUCUCUUGGUUCCCGCAUCGAUGAAGAACGCAGCGAAAUGCGAUAAGUAAUGUGAAUUGCAGAAUUCAGUGAAUCAUCGAAUCUUUGAACGCACAUUGCGCCCUCUGGUAUUCCGGAGGGCAUGCCUGUUCGAGCCUCAAUGAAACCGCUCCCCGUCCGGUCGUUCCUCGCUCAGGGCGGGAAUGUCCCCGGGGGUAGUGGCGGACGCGAACGCCCCCAAAAGCGUGCGCGCCGCUCAAAUCCGCGGUCCGCGGGCCCGAGGGCGCACCCGACGUAGUGAUGAAUUUUCUCGUCGACGUGCGACCUCAAGCACCUGGGACCUUAAGCGCUCCGGCGCCGCUUCCAAUCGGUUGAGCUCGGAUCAGGUAGGGAUACCCGCUGAACUUAA
rnacentral:rRNA from 1 species